rnacentral:rRNA from 1 species
CCUACGGGAGGCAGCAGUGGGGAAUCUUGCGCAAUGGGCGAAAGCCUGACGCAGCCAUGCCGCGUGAAUGAUGAAGGUCUUAGGAUUGUAAAAUUCUUUCACCGAGGACGAUAAUGACGGUACUCGGAGAAGAAGCCCCGGCUAACUUCGUGCCAGCAGCCGCGGUAAUACGAAGGGGGCUAGCGUUGCUCGGAAUUACUGGGCGUAAAGGGAGCGUAGGCGGAUAGUUUAGUCAGAGGUGAAAGCCCAGGGCUCAACCUUGGAAUUGCCUUUGAUACUGGCUAUCUUGAGUACGGAAGAGGUAUGUGGAACUCCGAGUGUAGAGGUGAAAUUCGUAGAUAUUCGGAAGAACACCAGUGGCGAAGGCGACAUACUGGUCCGUUACUGACGCUGAGGCUCGAAAGCGUGGGGAGCAAACAGGAUUAGAUACCCUGGUAGUCCACGCUGUAAACGAUGAGUGCUAGUUGUCGGCAUGCAUGCAUGUCGGUGACGCAGCUAACGCAUUAAGCACUCCGCCUGGGGAGUACGGUCGCAAGNUUAAAACUUAAAGGAAUUGACGGCUGAGACCGNGCGAGACGACGACGAGGAGAGG